rnacentral:rRNA from 1 species
CCUACGGGCGGCAGCAGUGGGGAAUAUUGGACAAUGGGGGGAACCCUGAUCCAGCCAUGCCGCGUGUGUGAAGAAGGCCCUCGGGUUGUAAAGCACUUUCAGUGAGGAAGAACGCCUGGUGGUUAAUACCCAUCAGGAAAGACAUCACUCACAGAAGAAGCACCGGCUAACUCCGUGCCAGCAGCCGCGGUAAUACGGAGGGUGCGAGCGUUAAUCGGAAUUACUGGGCGUAAAGCGCGCGUAGGUGGCUUGAUAAGCCGGUUGUGAAAGCCCCGGGCUCAACCUGGGAACGGCAUCCGGAACUGUCAAGCUAGAGUGCAGGAGAGGAAGGUAGAAUUCCCGGUGUAGCGGUGAAAUGCGUAGAGAUCGGGAGGAAUACCAGUGGCGAAGGCGGCCUUCUGGACUGACACUGACACUGAGGUGCGAAAGCGUGGGUAGCAAACAGGAUUAGAUACCCUUAGUC